rnacentral:lncRNA from 1 species
GUUUGAGUCCUUGGUCAGAUAUAUGGCUUUGCACAUAAUUUCUCCAAGUCUUUGGUAGGCAGAAUCUCAAAGAUAGCCCCCCAAGAUUCCUGUUCCUUGAUUAUUCAAUCAAACAUUAAUCUAGGCACUGCUGUGAAGGGACUUUUCAGAUGCAAUUAAGGUUAGUAAAUGAGUGAUUUUGAAAUAGGGAAAUUAUUAUUAAUAUCUGGCUCAAGGUAAUCAUAAGGUGACCUUAAAAGUAGAAGAGGAAGCAAGUAGGGGUGGGGGAGAGAGAGAAGGAGGAAGAGGAGAAGGAGGAGGGAGGGGGUGGGUGAGGGGGAUGAGGUCAGAAUGAUUUGCAACCCACCAUUGCUGGCUUUGAAGGUGGAGGAAGGGGAUUGCUAGCCAAGGAAUGCAGAUGUCUAGAAGCUAAGAAUGACCCCAGGCCAACAGCCAGCAAGGAAAUGGCAACAUUAGUCCUACAAAUGCAUGAAACUGGACUCUCCCAACAACCAGAAUGAGUCUGGAAGAUUAAUCACCAGAGCCUCUACAAAGGAACACAACCCUCCUGCUGAGGGAGAUCUAGAACACAGAAACCAGCCGAGCCUACCAGACUUCUGACCUACAGAGCUGGAUCAUCGUGAUGGUACUGCUCUCAUGACUUCAUCUAAGAUGCCUUAAUCAUUGCCCAAAGAUCCCACCUCCAAAAACCAUCACAUUGGAGGUGCUUCUUCAACAUCUGAAUUUUGAGGGGGGACACACUCAGUCUAUCACAGAUGCUUGGACAUGCUGGGGCAGCAUUCUGCAUGAGCCGUCCCAAGAAAGACUCCUGGGAGGUGCAUCUCACCCCUCUGGGCUCCCAGCUGCAGUCACCAGGGAACUCUGACCAGUUCAAGCCUAGGUGCAGACUGUGGUGCCACAGAUGUGACCAGCGUUUCCACCCCAUCUCACCUGGACGGAGGACACGCCCCUUGCUGGCACUGCAGCGUCACCAAUGCACAUGAAGGUACUCAUUUCCACUCAUAGCUGUGAUUUUU